GCUUGGGGGAGAUUUGAACAGUGGCCUUUGUGUGUGAAGUUUGCAUGUUCUCGCCGAGUACGUGUGGGUACUCCGGCUUGCUUCCACCAUCCAAAGACAUGCAUGUUAGGUUAACUGGUU